rnacentral:tRNA from 1 species
UAACCUAGUGCUUAAGGUUACGGAUCGCCAAUCCGGAGACAGCGGGUUCGAUUCCCGU